GGUAUUAUGGCUUCGUGGUAGAGUGCUUGCCUAGAACGCAUGAAGUCCUGGGUUCGAUUCCUCAGUACCA
rnacentral:tRNA from 1 species